GAAAAAAGUUCGUGGAUUGUCAAGCAUAUGUUCACUUCCUCUUGUGAAGGAGCUGGGUGAGAAAAUAGAAAAUGUUAUAAAAAAUAAGUUACCUUCCAAAGAUUUUGAUGGAGAUAAAUUCAAUGCCUUUUCGACCUUGAGAGGAUAUCAUUGGCGAGGCAGGGACUGUGACAACAGAACGGCCUCUGUGUAUCCGGGGAGACACCCUGAUAAUUGGGAUGCUCAGCAGGGAUUCUAACUGUAAUGGCAUAUGGG